rnacentral:rRNA from 1 species
ACGGGAGGCAGCAGUGGGGAAUAUUGCACAAUGGGCGAAAGCCUGAUGCAGCGACGCCGCGUGAGCGAAGAAGUUAUUCGUAAUGUAAAGCUCUAUCAGCAGGGAAGAAAAUGACGGUACCUGACUAAGAAGCUCCGGCUAAAUACGUGCCAGCAGCCGCGGUAAUACGUAGGGGGCAAGCGUUGUCCGGAAUGACUGGGCGUAAAGGGCGUGUAGGCGGCAUUGUAAGUCCGGAGUGAAAGUCCUGCUUUCAAGGUGGGAAUUGCUUUGGAGACUGCAAAGCUUGAGUACAGAAGAGGUAAGCGGAAUUCCCGGUGUAGCGGUGAAAUGCGUAGAGAUCGGGAGGAACACCAGUGGCGAAGGCGGCUUACUGGGCUGUAACUGACGCUGAGGCGCGAAAGCGUGGGGAGCAAACAGGAUUAGAUACCCUGGUA